rnacentral:rRNA from 1 species
GAUGAACGCUGGCGGCGUGCCUAAUACAUGCAAGUCGAGCGAACAGACGAGGAGCUUGCUCCUCUGACGUUAGCGGCGGACGGGUGAGUAACACGUGGAUAACCUACCUAUAAGACUGGGAUAACUUCGGGAAACCGGAGCUAAUACCGGAUAAUAUAUUGAACCGCAUGGUUCAAUAGUGAAAGACGGUUUUGCUGUCACUUAUAGAUGGAUCCGCGCCGCAUUAGCUAGUUGGUAAGGUAACGGCUUACCAAGGCAACGAUGCGUAGCCGACCUGAGAGGGUGAUCGGCCACACUGGAACUGAGACACGGUCCAGACUCCUACGGGAGGCAGCAGUAGGGAAUCUUCCGCAAUGGGCGAAAGCCUGACGGAGCAGCGCCGCGUGAGUGAUGAAGGUCUUCGGAUCGUAAAACUCUGUUAUUAGGGAAGAACAAAUGUGUAAGUAACUAUGCACGUCUUGACGGUACCUGAUCAGAAAGCCACGGCUAACUACGUG